rnacentral:rRNA from 1 species
AGUGAACGCUGGCGGUAGGCCUAACACAUGCAAGUCGAACGGCAGCACAGAGGAGCUUGCUCCUUGGGUGGCGAGUGGCGGACGGGUGAGGAAUACAUCGGAAUCUACUCUGUCGUGGGGGAUAACGUAGGGAAACUUACGCUAAUACCGCAUACGACCUACGGGUGAAAGCAGGGGAUCUUCGGACCUUGCGCGAUUGAAUGAGCCGAUGUCGGAUUAGCUAGUUGGCGGGGUAAAGGCCCACCAAGGCGACGAUCCGUAGCUGGUCUGAGAGGAUGAUCCGCCACACUGGAACUGAGACACGGUCCAGACUCCUACGGGAGGCAGGAGUGGGGAAUAUUGGACAUUGGGCGCAAGCCUGAUCCAGCCAGACCGCGUGGGUGAAGAAGGCCUUCGGGUUGUAAAGCCCUUUUGUUGGGAAAGAAAUCCAUCUGGUUAAUACCCGGGUGGGAUGACGGUACCCAAAGAAUAAGCACCGGCUAACUUCGUGCCAGCCGCCGCCGUAA